rnacentral:rRNA from 1 species
AACGCGAAGAACCUUACCUGGGCUCGAAAUGUAGGGGACUGUACUAGAAAUAGUACAUCCCGAAAGGGUCCCUAUAUAGGUGCUGCAUGGCUGUCGUCAGCUCGUGCCGUGAGGUGUUUGGUUAAGUCCAGCAACGAGCGCAACCCUUAUCGUUAGUUGCCAGCGCGUCAAGGCGGGAACUCUAACGAGACUGCCUGGGUUAACCAGGAGGAAGGUGAGGAUGAUGUCAAGUCCGCAUGGCCUUUAUGUCCAGGGCCACACACGUGCUACAAUGGUCGGUACAGAAGGCAGCGAAACCGCGAGGUGAAGCAAAUCCCUUAAAACCGAUCUCAGUUCAGAUUGGAGUCUGCAACUCGACUCCAUGAAGUUGGAAUUGCUAGUAAAGGCGUGUCAGCCACAACGCCUUGAAUACGUUCCCGGGCCUUGUACACACCGACUGUAC